CUGCUGGAAUUGGUGUGAGAAAUCCACUGAUUGUCUUAGGUUGUGUUAACUUCUUAGGAAUGGCGUUCACAUUUUUGGUGCCAGAAUCCAAAGGAAAAUCAUUGGAAGAAAUGUCAAGGGAAAAUGAAGGGGAAGAGGAAAGUGAAACAGAAAUGAAGAAUAGUGGAAGGACAGUUCCUGUUUAAUUUUGGACCUUAGAAAAGUGGGUCGGGCGGGUUUAAAAAAUAGAAUGGAUGGGCUAAUCUGGUCCAAUCUAAGACUGCCACGUGUUAAAAAAUACUGUGGAAACAAGUUUUAACGGGGAAGAGGAAAGUGAAACAGAAAUGAAGAAUAGUGGAAGGACAGUUCCUGUUUAAUUUUGGACCUUUUAACAUAUACUAUUUAUAUAUAUAUGAUGCAUGUUUGUGAAUUUGUGUGUUUUGGCGCUUAAGAUGAAAUAUGCUCUCUACUUUUUGCUUGUUUAUAUGGGAAAGUGGGAAGAGCUAGAAAUGAGGUCCUUUUGUUGUCUAUUUCUAUCUUUUCAAAAAAAAAUAAAAUUAACAUUAUAAGAAUCAAGAAAAUGCUUUCAAUUAGAGAUGUUCUUGUUUGCUUUAAUUUAUUCUUGUUUCAAUUUUUUAUACAUGUAUUGUGAAGAUAGAUAAUUGUUGGGUGAGGCUUGACAGGGCUAUCUAUAGAUGAUUUGUGUUUUGGAUUGUGUCUCCUUUAUGGUAGUUAUUUAUGGUAGUUACUGUAUN
rnacentral:lncRNA from 1 species